CUUCCGUUCUCCACUCUCCUCUGUGAGCUCUGUAGUGCUCCGUUUCAGGGCCGUGGCAGUCGGGAAAUACUUCACUUCUGGCCUUCCGGGUGAGGGCUUUUGAGAGACCAGGCUCUAACGCUCCGCAGAACCAGCAGGUGCACUCAAUUCCCGGCGGCUCCUACAAAGUCGUACCCGAGGAAGCAGUCCAAUAGAAGAGAAAAAAGGCUUGGCUUCUCAAGAUUCAGGAGAUUUUGACAGAGUUCUGGGGCGACACCACUCACAGGUCAAGACUGAAUCAAUAUAUACGCCCUUUCUUUGGACUGAAUUUUUUGGUUAACUGAAUAAUUUAGUCAAAAUAAUUAUGAAUUUGAGACAUUUAUAUUAUAUCACUCCUUUUUCCAACAUGAUGCUUUCUGCUUGGCUGAUUUGAAAUUUUGGAUGGGUGAGAAAAAUCUAUACUAAUAUGACUGAAUAUUUAUUUAUAUAUUUAUGUAUUGAGCA
rnacentral:lncRNA from 1 species